AGCUAACGCGUUAAGUCGACCGCCUGGGGAGUACGGCCGCAAGGUUAAAACUCAAAUGAAUUGAUGGGGGCCCGCACAAGCGGUGGAGCAUGUGGUUUAAUUCGAUGCAACGCGAAGAACCUUACCUGGUCUUGACAUCCACGGAAGUUUUCAGAGAUGAGAAUGUGCCUUCGGGAACCGUGAGACAGGUGCUGCAUGGCUGUCGUCAGCUCGUGUUGUGAAAUGUUGGGUUAAGUCCCGCAACGAGCGCAACCCUUAUCCUUUGUUGCCAGCGGUCCGGCCGGGAACUCAAAGGAGACUGCCAGUGAUAAACUGGAGGAAGGUGGGGAUGACGUCAAGUCAUCAUGGCCCUUACGACCAGGGCUACACACGUGCUACAAUGGCGCAUACAAAGAGAAGCGACCUCGCGAGAGCAAGCGGACCUCAUAAAGUGCGUCGUAGUCCGGAUUGGAGUCUGCAACUCGACUCCAUGAAGUCGGAAUCGCUAGUAAUCGUGGAUCAGAAUGCCACGGUGAAUACGUUCCCGGGCCUUGCACACACCGCCCGUC
rnacentral:rRNA from 1 species